UAUUAGUUGCACUUGAGUUUAGAAGUGCUUGUGUGAUUGGGUGAAUGAGGCAUGUUGUAUAGAGCGCUUUGAGUACUCCGGGAGAGUAGAAAACCGCUAUAUAAGAAUCAGUCCAUUUUCCAUUUAAAAGGUGAAGUUACUUUAACUGUUGUCAAACUAUAAUACGGCUUCUGGAAACUUGUUUCAAUAGAUUCACGCUACUAAUUGGGAAUUAUGUGAUCAAUAACGGCAGCUCAUUGGAAAAGAAGGAAAAUGCCCUUCAUUUAUUUACACUUUUGUUUGGGGUUUUUUUUUUUGGGGGGGGGGGGGUAAAUAGUUUUUUAAAAUCAAAUCUCUUUGUUGGAACAAAAUUUUUCUAAAAAGGUGCACAUUACUGGAUCAAAGUCUAUGUGUGGAUAUACAAAAAGUGAUGAUCCACAGUGUUCCUCUUAAACCCAGUGCGACUAACAUCAAAGGCUCCAUUAUGUUUUCAUAGUGUAAUCACCUCCUCCCAACAGGCUGUAAACUCAGCGCCACUGGCUGCAGUAAGUCCCACCAUGGCCAUCAAAUCCACGCUAAUCCCCCACACUUCCCUCUCACAGAGGGGGGAGGGUCAGUCAGUAUCGCGGUACACAAACAGAGGCCUGUGCCGGCAAACGCGCACUACUUGGUUGCAAAGCCAUGCUCCAGGUGUGAUGAGGUGGAGCGCACUCACCGCAAACAGAACGGUGAAGGCUGGAAGCGUGCGCCCUUCUGACUUGACCUCAUUCUGACAUAUGAUGUGGGACCAUAUGCAAAUUCAAGGGCUUGUGCAGGUGAGUGAGUUGGUGCACUACUUGCUGGCCUGUUACAGCACUAUCUUCCCACCACAGCUGCUGCUGCCAUUAAGGCAACGGGCGUCAUUCUUAUUCAGCACACGCCACCAAUUUCCACAGCUGUGCGGACAUUCGAAGUGCAAAAUUCCUCCGCCAUCAGCACGCGCCGCCUCACAAGCAACUCUCGAGCGUGGUUUUUCAGAGCAUGUGUUCUGCUUUCUGCAGCAAAGGAAACACAAUGAAGAAAACCACAGGAAGCCUGUGAACUCACUGAGAGAGCAUGGUUAAGGGUGUAUAACACGUUUUCGGUCCCCCUUGCUCACUAGACUGACAGGCAGCAACAUCACUUCCUGUGAAUGACAACUUACAAUGUCAAUGCAUGAAGCAUGACAAACUCUGCUGCAAGCUCUGACUCAAUUAAUUCUAUUAGUUCAUGAUUCACAGGAAAUAAUACGUGUGAUCUCUGCUAGAAGCAUGCAUAUGGCGAUGCUGCUGCCCACACACUCCAUGUGCACAUGCAUACACAUGGAUGCAGUUAUGCAAGAAUUAAAAUGAUCAGACAAAAAAUAAGUUUGCUAAGUAAAAAACUAUUAAAGCAAAAGUGCUGAAUAUUUUCAUGCUCCAUGUUUCAGAUUCGAGAAUUUACCUAUUCCAAUCUAGCAAGUGGAAUUAGUUUAGUAUUUUAUACACUGCAUAAUUAACUGAGGAGUGACAAUAAUCAUUAGCGAAAGUGCAACUUAACUAAACAGCCAUUUGGGAGCAGCACUAAGUGAUGAGAGAAAGAGCCAUCAAAAUUGGGCCCCUUAUUGAAGCUUAUCUCAAUCUGUUACGCACAAUGAAAAUGACUGUAUGCCUGCAAACUGUUCCUGACCCAGUGUCAAAGACUGCACAAUCAAGUCAGCACACUGACUCACUUGGCUGAAUAAUGUCUGAAUUUUAAGUUCCUCCCAGAGCCACAGAGCUCCCCGUUUCGCCGCUCUUGGAUGACAGAACGAGCUGUGUGUGACAGUCUGCAGUCACACAACACCACCAUGUGCAGAUAUCCAACUCAAACUGGCUGACUAAUGCGAAAUGUGGGCUGCUCUCUGUAUGAAACCAGAGGCUGAUGCUGCAGAUGCAAAGCGAGCCUCCUAUCUCUCAUCUAGAAGAAAAAAAAAAACAAUUUUAGGCCACGACCUCAGCUGGUUGUUCUUGGCGAUUAUGAAAAUGCGGGGCAAUUUUGACGGAGGAAGUACUUUCAUGGAGGAGGUGGCGGGCUUUGACAACCGAGCCUUGCUUACUGAUAUUCACAGACGGUGCCUGCAUUGUGUUACUGCGGGGUAAUCACGCUGAUUCAUCUUGUGUAAGAUGCAUUAGAGCGGGCAGUUAUGCAACAUAUGGGAUGGAAGAGUCGGAAGUCUAUAAUCCAGGUAGGGUAAUACCUAAAGUCACUCCUGAAAAGUGAGGCGACACCUUUAAAUCAGACACAGAAGCGAUGAUGAAACCUGAGCCGAGUUCGAAAUCAGUUCAGGGAAACCUUGUGGGCUCCCUCAUUAAGGUUGGAAACUGAAAUCUAAAGUCAGGCUUGUAGGAUACAACAUUUUCUCACAGAAGGCUAAACCGCUACGAUGGUGGCUUAUUUUCACAUGUAAUUUUACAAAUUUUCAGCCACGAUCCCUCAAAAUCUGCUAUCAUCACUGUGCAGUUACACAAAAGACUAUUUUUAAUCAGGCUUCACACAAUCAUCUGCUCAGCUGGGUAUUUUGCUCCUCAGUCUGAAUUUUUUAAACUAUAAUGACUAGAAAAUUGUGAAAAGAAUGCAGCUUUCUACUUCCUGCUGUAGACACCAUUCCUCUCAUUAUCAACCCCCAAAAUAUGACCAAACUUUGGCCUCCGCAAGGAUCGGCAGAAGAAAAAAGAAAAUCCAGGUAAAAGUCAAAUCACCCAGUUGUGGCUCAAUGAGUACCAGAGGCUCAAUUAUGCAAAUCAUGCAAAUAACUAUACUUUUAUUGUCUAUGUGGAACACAUAAAGUAGUGCCCUUCAGCGAUAAAUGAAACCAUAGAAAGUCUGGUGAUUAUGCUUCUCCACAAAGAUGAGUCAGGCUUUGAGCACACAAACUUUCACAGGACCUUAGAAAAUGCAUUAUAGAGAAUGAACACAGUACACAAGAAUUUCUAAAGCCUAAAUUGUUCAUCAGUCCACAAUAAGGCAAAGUGUCCACAAUGGAAAUUCAGGAGUGUUACUCCUCUCCCUAGGAGUGGGUGUCCUGCAAAGCUCACGCCAAGAGAACAACGUGUAAUCCUGAACGAGGUGAUAAAGAACCCGAAGUAACAGCUAAGCACCUGCAGAAAUCUCUACAACUUGUUAAAAAUCUCAUUAUUAGGGGGAAAAAUAAAAUUCUGAAUAGAAAUGAUGUUAAUGCAAGGACAUGAAUGUUCCACCAAACUUCUGGGAUGUUCCGCAGGCAAGGUGAGUUAGAAGCUGAAUGUGGCACACUAUGUUUGAAGUUUAGUUGAGGGAACAAUGAAAAAGCAAGAAAUUUUAGAGGAAAGUGUGAUGUGAGGAGAGGUUGGCAGAUGCGGAUGUGACAUAGUGACCUGAAGCAAACCACUGGACGGUCAAAAGAAAAAGACAAAGAUUCAGCAUCAUUGCCCUGAUGUUAACCAAUAUGGGAUUGCUGUGGCAUGACCUGAAAUAAGAUAAAUUUUGAUGACAUCUGACUGUUGUCCAAGUCUCGUCAGCAGCUGUAGGACUCAUCUGAUGGAGGUUGGUGCUGCUAAUGGAGCGUAAGCUGCACCUGUGAGCUUGCAAAAUAUAUCCAGUCCCUUUAAAACUUCAAACUUCUGGGACUGAUCUGGUCAGUUAAGCAGAGGGGUUUGUUAAUCAGUUUCAGCUGCUUUGGUGUUAAUAGGUAGUUCAGCUCCACCAACAUGGCAUAUCAAAUGUGCCAUUGCCAGAAGGUCUGCUGUGUCUCCCAGCACAGUCUCAAGAGUAUGGAGGAGAGUCCAGGAGGGGUAGUUACUCAAGGAGAGCUGAACAGGGCCGAAGGUACUUAACCCAUCACCAGGAACGGUAUUUGCUCCAUUAUGGAAAGAGAAACUGGAUCAGAACUGCCAGAGAACUACAAAAUGACCUCCAGCAGGCCACUGGUGUCAGAAACAGAGUUCACGAGGGUUGUCUGAAGGCCGACGUCCACCACUGUGGAACCCAACUAGCUUUUACCAUAGAUUACCACAAUUGGCAAGUCGACCUGUGAAUAAACUAGAAAUUAACAGUUUUUCAACAAAAACGAAUCUGGCUGAAUCAACUGACAGAAGAGUUUGCCACUUACUGAAUGAAGAGAUUUAGCAUUUUAGUAAUAGAAAAAAAAUUGCAAAUAUUGUCUGUAGUAGAGUAGGCUGAAUAUUUUAAAUUUGGGUUUUGGUUUAAGAAAUGCCAGUUUGCAGAAGAAUAAAUGAAACAUUCCCUGUGGGGAGGCAGGAGGGGGAUUCCUCUCCAACCUGCCAAAAAUGGCUUUCUGCCUGUUAAAUGAACUCGACUAAUACAUCCAGUGAAAUCCAGCAGCUGUUAAGGUCCCUACAACUGGAGCUGGGAGCCAUUAUUCUAAUACCCUGUGGACCUCAGGCUACUUUCCAGUAAUGUGCAAUUUGAGGUCACUGGACUGCUGAUGAAAAAGAGAGCGAUGGUCAGUUUACAGGCUGUUAAGAGCUACUGGUGCCCACAAAGAGCUGAAAAAAAAGGUUUCUGCCAAAUUUUUCCCAAGAGCACAAGAUAAUCUUGUCUGAAACCACAGAUCAGUCUGUCAGAUAGCGGCUGAAUUAUUUUAAUAAGUGCAAUUACAUUUCCUGUGCUCUGAUACAGGGCAGCUUUGUAUCCUUCCAACUCUCCGAGUACACUGGAUAACACAACAUGGCUGUGCAGGCAUUCACUGCGGUCAGAGGUGCCACGGAUGCAAAUGGAAAUGUCUGUGCACAGUCAGUGUAGAUGGAGAACAGCAGUGAUGGUGGGAAGUGGUAAACAGUCUUCUUCAGGCAGAGCAACCAAGGUCCUCUAUCAUCCUAGUUGCCUAGCUUCCACUUUCACGGCAUUCAUGCAGCUUUCAAGGACCCAACUUGUUUCAGAGAAUUAUCAAUGCACAGAGGCAACAACAGUCACUUCAAAACCAACAAGUGGGGCUCUGUGAGAGGCCGGCUCAGUUUAAUAUCGGUGUUUAUUCAUGAAUGUCAAACUUAGAGAAAAAAAAAAGAUAAUUUUCCUAAACUGGAAGCUAAGUGAGGACAACUUUGACACUGCGAUUUCAGAAUGUGGGAUGUAGAACACAUGAAAACACUCAAAGCAGAUGCAGUUAGAAAGCAUUUUGGACUGCAUUUGAGCCACAAAAUGUAGGGGAAUAAAUUAUGUUUUAGAAGAUUUGCUUUAGUGAAGUACAGGUGUGCAGUGCUCUUUGCAGUCCUGUGAAAGUGUUAGGCACACCAUUACUGCUUCCACGGGAACUGAUAGGGUAAGUAGCAGCCAGGAGCUGAUAAUCAAAUACACUUGAUUAACUGAUCAUCAGCAAGCGGGAGAACCUCUAUAAAAGGAGAAGUUCUGGCAGUUUGCUGAUCUGGAGCAUUAAGGUGUGCAUUAACACAAUACAAAGUCUUCCCUGGAGUGGACAUCCCAGCAAAUUCACCCAAAAAUCAGACUGUGCAUGCUCAGAAAACUGCAAAAAAGCCAAAUAUCUGCAGGUCUCAGUUAGCAUGUAAAAUGUUAAAGUUCAUGACAAUAUGAUUACAAAAAGACAGAACAAGUCUGGCUUGUCAGGACAAAGCUUCUUCUCUAAGAAGAACAUGGUAACACAAGUUAGCUUUGCAAAGUUACAUCUGAACCAAUCACUUCUGCAACAACGUCCUUUGGACAGAUGAGACCAAACAGGAGAUCUUUGCCCAUAAUGAAGAUCAAACCACAGCAUAUCAGCACGAACACCUCAUAUGAACUGUCAAGCACGGUGGUGGAGGGGUGAUGAUUUGGGUUUCUUUUACAAACACAGGACCAGAGGUCUGUACUACGAAGCAGAAUUAUAUCUUAUGCAGGUAACUUUGUAGUUACCGGGGUUUUCUGUACUUACAAAGAAUGUUCAUUUCUUACUAGGGUGCAUCCCCCCAUAGUAACUUAUUCUGCAAACCUAGCCUGCUCAAGGAGUAGGUUAGGUUUCAGAUUAGAGAUCAAAAUCACCGACUACUGACCAAUCACUUCUCUGGAAAUCAGCAUCACUAAUCAGCAGCAAGAUCGAUUUUUAAUAGUGUCUAAAGUUUUUGUGUUUCCCAAAUGAGCAUCAGUAAUAAAUACAGAUUCUUAGAUGCUGUUUUAUUCCAUGACUUUUUCAACUUUUUUUUUUUUUUUAACCAUUAGGCUGGAAACAGUCUUGCUAUUCAAUAUGCAUUAAUAGAUGAAUUAAGGCACCUAUUUGUUCCUUUGGACUUUAUAUCAAUUACAGAUAGAAUUCAAAUGUGGGCUUAGUCUGUUUUUGUAUUUAUUCUUGACUUGCCCUCAGAAAAUUAAACACCAUUGGGGCUUUCAAUGAAAGAAUAAAAACUAAUGGUCCAACGAGAUUAUAAUCCAUCAGAUUCUCCCACAGUUGGCAAACAGAAUAAACUUUAUUAAUAUAAAAGCUCUUUUCCACUCUUACAGACCAAAACAUUUAAACAUGCGUGCGCGCGCACACACACACACACACACACACACACACACACACACACUAGACUUUACUCUUGUUUUAUAAUAAAGGAGACCAAUCACAAGAAAUAAAUGUGAUUGGUCAGAUGAUGCCAGCACCACCCCUUUCAUGUGAACUUGCUCGUACCUAGAUCGGGAUAACCAGGGUUAACAUAGCGAGUUGAUAACACUGGCUUCACACAAAGCUGGUUAAGGUAAGUGGAUCCAGGUAACGGAAAAAUACCCUCUGCAUGUCGGGUUUUCCUUCAUAGCACCUGGGCACGUUGCAGUCACCGAGUUAACCACGAACUCAUCUGCAUCCUAAAGUAUUCUAAAGUGAAAUGUGAGGCCAUGUUUUCAAAGCUUGGCUGAAAAAUUGCUAAAAACAAAAAGAGGUGGAAGGUGGUGCAAUGGUCCAGUCAAAGCCCAGAUCUCAAGCCCAUUGAAAUGCAGUGACAGGACUUUAAGAGAGCUGUGCAUAAAUGAAUGCCAACAAACCUCAAUGAACUGAAGCAGACAAGGGGGACAAAACUCCAAAAUUCCUGCACAAUGAUCUGAGAAGCUGAUGACGCCCCACGGAAAACAAUUACUAAACAUGCAAGCUCUAAGGAGCCUGAAAAGAAAGUGACUGGAGUGACUUUAUCCAAGAGACUUUUUCCAGUUCUAAAACCAAACGCUGGAGAGUCCCAGGUAUUUAAACCUUAUUGGGGUUUAAGCACCUGCUCCUUAGACUACCAUGACCUGGAUGACUGAGAACCUAUAGAUUUACUAAACAUGCAGUUUUUAUAUCCCAUUGACCUCCGACAGUUAUGGUUCACCCCUAUUCAUUUAGAAAGGGGUCCUCAAAUAACUCCUAAUAAGCAUUAACAAAAUGACUUCCUUUUAAAAGAACAGGUUUAUUCUCAACUCUCUCAUAAGUCGGGAGGAAGCUGCUGGUGGAGACGGAACAAUUAAACUGGGGUUAAUAUUGAGCCUCCGUUCAUCAAGUGGACACAAACACAACUCAACCUGAAGAGAAAUGUGGCCGGUGUGUUAACACAGGACACUUCCAGAGGGAUGAUCCCUCUCGGACAGCGAUUUGGAAGCCCGACAACUGAACCAACAGUUGAAAGGUGGAGCAAAAGGAGGAAGAGGAAGACAAUCUGUCCCCUCCUUCGACCAGCACUUCCUCUUCCAUUUUAAUCCCCAGCCAAAGCUGCGAGCUCGCUGGGCUUUUGUGCCCCAGGUGGCCUGUUGUGAACCCCAGAGUGCAACAACAAGCCACUCCCUGAUUAAGACGCGCAGGAACAAGUAAAAAUGGCCCUCACUCGAAUUCAGCCAGGCAGGAGGAGUACACGCUGUACGGUGUGUACCAUUACAACCGAGUGGUGACGAACCAGCCCCGCAGAUGUGUGCUGGGUCGUGGGCGGAGGGUUGUGUGUUCCUCCAACCUGGCCAUUGUGUGGACAGUAAGUCUCAGUGAUGAUGAUGAUGUCGAUGAUUCACUGGUCUUAUUCAGAGGCUCUUCACACACAAACGAAAGCCUUAGGGGGGGUGAAAAAAAGAAAAAUCAGAAUUGCCUCUAGGUAGGAACGUCUGUUUAGUCCAGCAGCUGAAGUGUUGGGUGUGCUUUAUGAAUCACCAAUCUCAGAGAAUUUUAUGAUGCUGCUAGAAAAAAAGAAAAAGACAAAAGAAAGCACAGCAGAUCUGCAGUCACACUGAGCAGCUCAAGAGUUUCCCCAAAAUGAGAGGAUGAUGAUAGGAUACAGACUAAUGAAAGUUUACACAAGGGGACGAUGCUCCGAAGAACAAACCACAUAACCAUAGUGACCAGAGACCUGUCUUUUUGUUUUUUACUGUGCAGCUUGACACCAGUUUCAGCUAAAUUAAAGAAAACAAACACGUUUCCUUGGGGAGACUCCAUCCCUCAGCAUCUCAUAACAACAUAAACACCACCACAAUGACUACUUCUCAGGAAAGAGGAGGGGGAAACCAUCUCUGGGGGGGGGGGGGGGGUAAAGCAGAGCAGCGAGAACCGCACUCUGUUAAACGUGUGAUAGCACCUAGCAGUCUAUCACAAGGCUGCUUGGAUCGUGUGAGCACGACCUGCUCUGGCUGUCUCCUGUCGCUCAUUCACUCGGGCUCUUCUGUCUGUGCUGCAUGACUUAUUGAAAGAAGAGAAAGGCAUGAAGUCAGGCAGCACUAACAGCAGACCAAAAUAAUCUGUGGAAUUCGCCUGCUCUUUGGUCCAAGGGCAAGGCAGUAAGUUCAGCCAAAGAUGAGGGGAGUGGGGGAGUGGAGGGUGGGGUGGGGAGGGGAGGUUUCCCUAAAAACAAGUCCACAGAAACCAGAGCACAACAGUUUACUGUACAAACAAGAAUCUGCCACAGUGACACAGAUCCAUAAAACCCCAGACGUGAUCUUUCUCAGCUCAAAUCUGUCCCUCUGUUUGGAGAAGAGAGUCAAGAGGCCGACAGAACAAGGCACAACACCCACUAAAGUCCUCACAGAUGGCCCCCUUAAUUUAGGGGAGCCGAUUUCAUCAUCAUCAUCAUGUAAUGCAAAAGAGGCCCCUGCUGUCUUUGUCACAGUUGUGCCGAUAAAUAAAUGUCAGCCUUAACAAAGCUCUGGAUACACGCGUCAGUCCUGGGAAAAAAA